rnacentral:rRNA from 1 species
UACGUAGGCGGUUAUUCAAGUCAGAGGUGAAAGCCUGGAGCUCAACUCCAGAACUGCCUUUGAAACUAGAUAGCUAGAAUCUUGGAGAGGUGAGUGGAAUUCCGAGUGUAGAGGUGAAAUUCGUAGAUAUUCGGAAGAACACCAGUGGCGAAGGCGACUCACUGGACAAGUAUUAACGCUGAGGUACGAAAGCGUGGGGAGCAAACA